UUUAUAGUAUAAGUUAUUACAUAAGCCUUUCAAGCUUAAAAUGUGCCACCACUAAAU
rnacentral:tRNA from 1 species